rnacentral:rRNA from 1 species
GGAUUCCCCUAGUAACGGCGAGUGAAGCGGGAAGAGCUCAAAUUUGAAAUCUGGUGGCCUCAGGUCAUCCGAGUUGUAAUCUAUAGAAGUGUUUUCCGUGCUGGCUCAUGUACAAGUCCCUUGGAACAGGGCGUCAUAGAGGGUGAGAAUCCCGUCCUUGACAUGAACUACCAGUGCUCUGUGAUACAUUUUCAACGAGUCGAGUUGUUUGGGAAUGCAGCUCAAAAUGGGUGGUAAAUUCCAUCUAAAGCUAAAUAUUGGCGAGAGACCGAUAGCGAACAAGUACCGUGAGGGAAAGAUGAAAAGCACUUUGGAAAGAGAGUUAAACAGUAUGUGAAAUUGUUGAAAGGGAAACGAUUGAAGUCAGUCGUGCUCUUUGGAUUCAGCCGGUUCUGCCGGUGUACUUCCUUUGAGUGGGGUCAACAUCAGUUUUGAUCGCUGGAUAAAGGCUGGAGGAACGUAGUACCCUCGGGUAAACUUAUAGCCUCCUGUCACAUACAGUGGUUGGGACUGAGGAACGCAGCACGCCUUUAUGGCCGGGAUUCGUCCACGUACGUGCUUAGGAUGUUGACAUAAUGGCUUU